rnacentral:rRNA from 1 species
GACGAACGCUGGCGGCGUGCCUAAUACAUGCAAGUAGAACGCACAGUUUAUACCGUAGCUUGCUACACCAUAGACUGUGAGUUGCGAACGGGUGAGUAACGCGUAGGUAACCUGCCUGGUAGCGGGGGAUAACUAUUGGAAACGAUAGCUAAUACCGCAUAAUAUUGAUUAUUGCAUGAUAAUUGAUUGAAAGAUGCUAUUGCAUCACUACCAGAUGGACCUGCGUUGUAUUAGCUAGUAGGUGAGGUAACGGCUCACCUAGGCGACGAUACAUAGCCGACCUGAGAGGGUGAUCGGCCACACUGGGACUGAGACACGACCCAGACUCCUACGGGAGGCAGCAGUAGGGAAUCUUCGGCAAUGGACGAAAGUCUGACCGAGCAACGCCGCGUGAGUGAAGAAGGUUUUCGGAUCGUAAAGCUCUGUUGUAAGAGAAGAACGGGUGUGAGAGUGGAAAGUUCACACUGUGACGGUAUCUUACCAGAAAGGGACGGCUAACUACGUG